GGAAAGAGUUAAGGAGUUUAUUAGAUUUCUUUCAAAACAGACCUAAAAAUUAUUCAACUCUGUUAUAAAUGAUUUGUUCCUGUGGGGAAGAGAAGGGGCGUGGCAGGUUAGCUCUGCAGUUCAAGCAUUUAGCAAGGACAGUGACAUCAUCAAGUCACUUAGAGCCCAACUUCAAUUUGCCCACAGCAGGGCUGGGAAACACAAGAUCCUGCCCUGGAGCUGAAAUGGGCACCAGGCUCUUCUUCUAUGUGGCCCUUUGUCUGCUGUGGGCAGGACACAGGGAUGCUGAAAUCAUCCAGAGCCCAAGACACAAGAUCACAGAGACAGGAAGGAAGGUGACCUUGACGUGUCACCAGACUUGGAACCACAACAAUAUGUUCUGGUACCGACAAGACCUGGGACACGGGCUGAGACUGAUCCAUUACUCAUAUGGUGUUCCAGACACUAACAAAGGAGAAGUCCCAGAUGGCUACAGUGUCUCUAGAUCAAAUAAAGAGGAUUUCCCCCUCACUCUGGAGUCUGCUGCCUCCUCCCAGACAUCUGUAUAUUUCUGCGCCAGCAGUGAGUCCACAGUGCUGCACAGCUGCCUCCUCUCUGCACAUAAAGGGCAGUUAGAAUGAUUGAGGUUGCCUGUGCUCCCAAGUCCUAGCCUUCAUAGGAGUCAGAGAGCCCUGGCUAGCCUGGGGGCCAUAGAGCAGGGACCAUAUGACCCUUGGUGUUGAGGUCCAUUCCUACCCCAGUCUCAGACCAACUGGAGGUCACCCCAACACCCUUAGCUUCUGCAGUUCCCUGUUUCCUUUUGUAAAAUGGAAAAGGCAUCUUUAGUUGAGAUUCCUAAUUUCCUUGACAAUUUGAAAUCCACCAUAUUCUUCUCUCCCCUAAGGGAUAGGUGACUUGUCCAUCUACCCUUUCCCCUACCCUCUACCACCCUUCAACUCACAAUCAUAAAUCUUUGCCCAUGUGGUCUCUGCUCCUGGGGGGCCUUUCUUCUAAGGGUAAUAGACCCACAAGGUCCUGUAUCAUUAGCCAUUUACCUACCUCUUCGUCGUCAUUUUGCACCAUGUUUUCCCUGGCUGUCUGCUCCAGUCACGCUCCCCUACAUGCAGUUAUUUCUUCACAUGUGUCCGUUGUUUUCCACCCUGGGGAUUGUUUAUACAAAUUCUUUCUUCUGCACUGAGUAUGCAUACCACCCACUUAGUCCUACAUCUCUAUUUCAUUUCUUAAAUUAAAGUGUAUUUCAGGCACACUUGCUCUUAACUGUAAAGAGCAAAAAAGAAAGUUUACUAGAAAAAUAUUUUAUGCAUUCAUUUGGGGGAUGACUUUUUUAGAGGAGACAAAAAAAAAGCCACAAGCCAAAAGAACAAUAUUCAUAAUGCUAAUUGCACUAAAUUGUUCCAAGCCAAAACACACCAUAAAAAUUAAAAAGUUAAGCUACAGCUUGGGAAAGGCAUGAGGAAUGCAUACAAAUGAUGAAAAAUCAGUGUGACAGAGAACAUUCGGUGUGACAGAGAACGUUCAGAACAUCACUGAAUACCCGUAGCCCCUCCAUGGUUUCUGGCCUCCCUUGCAUUUGGAGGGUUGGGAACAUGUCACCAGGUUCUGAAGAGUGGGAUAAAAUGAUGUCACCUCAUUUCAAGCCUAGCCCUUAAAAAUAUUCUGUGGCACUGUGUUGAGAGUCUCUAAAUGUACUCCCGUGUUUAGAGUGUCGGUAUAUGGCAUAGAGUUGUCCUCAUGGCUAACAUUUAUUAAAAUGUCAUAGUAAAUCCUCUGCAACAGAUCAUAUGAAGAAAACACACAGGUGGAAUCUGGAGGAAUUCACAGGCGGGCUUCCUUAUGCUCUCUUCCUCCCAGGAGGGGACACACAGAGCUCUCUCUCCUCCCAGAAGCAAAAAUGCAUGAACACAUGUGCACUGUUUCUGCCAAGGGAGCCCAUUACAGGCUUAGCAUCCAAGAGGGUUUAGUAGAGGCUGUUCACACAGGCACCUACUGUCUAGCAUGAACCAAAAGUCUAGAUCCCAGAAGGAAAUCUGAUGUUCAGCAUAAUUGUUAUUUGCAACACCAGCCUGGGCACAAUGAGCCACCCCUCUCAGUCAGGAGAAACUUUACGUCAGUUCAGGACCCUGUUCACCAGCCAAGUUCCCGGAUUUCAGCCAAAGUCCAAUCUUGCAAGCAGGACUUUCUAAGCACUUCAGUGUCCAGCCUCCUGUCAACUCUUGUGCACGGACACUCUUCAACUCUCUUUUGCCAUGUCUUGAACUUGGGAGCUACAAGGUACAGAUUGGCUGAUGAUAAUAUGGAAGCAGCCUGGCUCACUGGGUCAUAAUUUGGUGGACAAUCACUGAAGAAAGCUGCUCAUGCCACACUGAACUUUGUGGUCACGGGAAGUAAGACUUCACAGAGCUACACCAGUGAGAUUUUAGAUUUGUUUUGUUUGUUUUGUUUUCUGUAG